UAGGGAAUCUUCCGCAAUGGACGCAAGUCUGACGGAGCAACGCCGCGUGAGUGAAGAAGGAUUUCGGUUCGUAAAACUCUGUUGUUAGAGAAGAACAGCGCAUAGAGUAACUGUUAUGCGUGUGACGGUAUCUAACCAGAAAGCCACGGCUAACUACGUGCCAGCAGCCGCGGUAAUACGUAGGUGGCAAGCGUUGUCCGGAUUUAUUGGGCGUAAAGCGAGCGCAGGCGGUCAAUUAAGUCUGAUGUGAAAGCCCCCGGCUCAACCGGGGGGGGUCAUUGGAAACUGGUUGACUUGAGUGCAGAAGAGGAGAGUGGAAUUCCAUGUGUAGCGGUGAAAUGCGUAGAUAUAUGGGGGAACACCAGUGGCGAAGGCGACUCUCUGGUCUGUAACUGACGCUGAGGCUCGAAAGCGUGGGUAGCAAACAGG
rnacentral:rRNA from 1 species